AUAGGCAUGACUGAUACAGCAGUACUUGCAAGGCGAGCAUACAAACAGACACGUGUGUUACUAUAUUCAGAAGAACUGUAUCUCCAGUUCCUUUGUUUGGUUUUUGCUGCUUCGUGAAUAAUGGCGGGACGACGUCUCGCGUUCAACUCGCCUUCAACUCCUCUCCGCGGUCACCAACUUUCGGCCAGUCCGCAGACAGACAGAAGAAGCUGCUGAAAGCUCUCAGUGGAUCGUCUCGUCAACUCCAACAACAAACUGCCGAUAUCAACGAGCGGUUCGCUCCACUGGAGCGUUCGGAACUCUGCGGGUUUCUGUCCAUGGAGGAGAGGAACUGACUCAAAGAAGAAGAGACGGGCGCACGAUCCCACGAUAGCGCUGCUGGAAUCGAGACAAAGUGCGCUGGCUGAUGACGAGGUGGAACUCUGGAAAUCCGCCACCGUAGAGCUCACGUCGGACGGAGGGGACGGCGUUGUUGGCGGGGUUCUCGGGUGGAUUGUACGGUCGCCACACGCAGAGCCGCCUGCACAACAGACCUGCC
ensembl:lncRNA